rnacentral:rRNA from 1 species
GACGAACGCUGGCGGCAGGCCUAACACAUGCAAGUCGAGCGGAGCGGGGGACGGGCGAGUAAUGCCUAGGAAUCUGCCUGGCAGUGGGGGAUAAAGUCCGGCAACGGGCGCUAAUACCGCAUACUAUCAGAUGAGUCUAGGUCGGAUUAGCUAGUUGGUGGGGUAAAGGCCUACCAAGGCGACGAUCCGUAACUGGUCUGAGAGGAUGAUCAGUCACACUGGAACUGAGACACGGUCCAGACUCCUACGUGAGGCAGCAGUGGGGAAUAUUGGACAAUGGGCGAAAGCCUGAUGCAGCCAUGCCGCGUGUGUGAAGAAGGUCUUCGGAUUGUAAAGCACUUUAAGUUGGGAGGCGUUACCAACAGAAUAAGCACCGGCUAACUUCGUGCCAGCAGCCGCGGUAAUAC